rnacentral:rRNA from 1 species
CACCAGCCCCUCGAGUGGUGGGGAUGAUUAUUUGGCCUAAAGCGUCCGUAGCCGGCCGGGUAAGUUUCCCGUUAAAUCCAGCGUCUCAAGCGUUGGACUGCGGGAAAUACUGCCUGGCUAGAGAGUGGGAGAGGUGUACGGUAUUCUGGGGGUAGGGGCGAAAUCCUUUGAUCCCCGGAGGACCACCAGUGGCGAAGGCUGUACACUAGAACACGUCUGACGGUCAGGGACGAAAGCUGGGGUAGCGAACCGGAUUAGAUACCCGGGUAGUCCCAGCUGUAAACGAUGCAUGCUAGGUGUUGGGUUGGCCACGAGCCACCCCAGUGCCGCAGGGAAGCCGUUAAGCAUGCCGCCUGGGAAGUACGAUCGCAAGAUUGAAACUUAAAGGAAUUGGCGGGGAGCACCACCAGGCGUGAAGCCUGCGGUUU